rnacentral:rRNA from 1 species
AUUGAACGCUGGCGGCAGGCCUAACACAUGCAAGUCGAGCGGAUGACGGGAGCUUGCUCCUUGAUUCAGCGGCGGGCGGGUGAGUAAUGCCUAGGAAUCUGCCUGGUAGUGGGGGGCAACGUUUCGAAAGGAACGCUAAUACCGCAUACGUCCUACGGGAGAAAGCAGGGGACCUUCGGGCCUUGCGCUAUCAGAUGAGCCUAGGUCGGAUUAGCUAGUUGGUGGGGUAAUGGCUCACCAAGGCGACGAUCCGCAACUGGUCUGAGAGGAUGAUCAGUCACACUGGAACUGAGACACGGUCCAGACUCCUACGGGAGGCAGCAGUGGGGAAUAUUGGACAAUGGGCGAAAGCCUGAUCCAGCCAUGCCGCGUGUGUGAAGAAGGUCUUCGGAUUGUAAAGCACUUUAAGUUGGGAGGAAGGGCAGUAAGCUAAUACCUUGCUGUUUUGACGUUACCGACAGAAUAAGCACCGGCUAACUCUGUGCCAGCAGCCGCGGUAAUACAGAGGGUGCAAGCGUUAAUCGGAAUUACUGGGCGUAAAGCGCGCGUAGGUGGUUUGUUAAGUUGGAUGUGAAAGCCCCGGGCUCAACCUGGGAACUGCAUCCAAAACUGGCAAGCUAGAGUACGGUAGAGGGUGGUGGAAUUUCCUGUGUAGCGGUGAAAUGCGUAGAUAUAGGAAGGAACACCAGUGGCGAAGGCGACCACCUGGACUGAUACUGACACUGAGGUGCGAAAGCGUGGGGAGCAAA